rnacentral:rRNA from 1 species
GACGAACGCUGGCGGCGUGCUUAACACAUGCAAGUCGAACGGAAAGGCCCUGCUUUUGUGGGGUGCUCGAGUGGCGAACGGGUGAGUAACACGUGAGUAACCUGCCCUUGACUUUGGGAUAACUUCAGGAAACUGGGGCUAAUACCGGAUAGGAGCUCCUGCUGCAUGGUGGGGGUUGGAAAGUUUCGGCGGUUGGGGAUGGACUGGCGGCUUAUCAGCUUGUUGGUGGGGUAGUGGCUUACCAAGGCUUUGACGGGUAGCCGGCCUGGGAGGGUGACCGGCCACAUUGGGACUGAGAUACGGCCCAGACUCCUACGGGAGGCAGCAGUGGGGAAUAUUGCACAAUGGGCGGAAGCCUGAUGCAGCAACGCCGCGUGCGGGAUGACGGCCUUCGGGUGGAAAACCGCUUUCGCCUGUGACGAAGCGUGAGUGACGGUAAUGGGUAAAGAAGCACCGGCUAACUACGUG